GCAUUUGUGUGAAGGGCUUUACCGCAAAAGUGGAAGGUUUUCUGUGACAGAGUAUAACAGAACUGUGUAGGUUCAGGAUAUGUCAGUAUAUGAUAAUAUUCUUGCUAAGCAAACCAUACCCUUGGUCACGUGUUUACAUGGUUUUUCUGCAUGUGAAAUCAGUUUUCUUUGUCUGCUCUAACCAUUUGUUUUCUCUGAGCCUGGAGGUAUUGAUAAUUGGGCAGUGUGCAAAGCUCAAUACCAUAGGAAGAUAGGGAUGGAUUGGGAAAUGAGUGUCUAAGUAGCAGCUCUCUGAGAGAUUGCUGGGUUUGCUGCUCUCCUGUCUGUCCUCUUGUGUGUGUUUAAGGUAGAGUUGACCCGUUAGAUGAAUUUUAUUGGCACCCAUUAGUUUUAAAGUGCUUUGAAAGUGGGUCUAGAAGAUUUGAGCUCUUUGAGACAAAACUGAGGUAGUGUCUUUUGAGAUCUGCUGGUGGGAUGAUGUUACUUCCAGUUGGAUAAAAAUGGUAGUCCCUAUCUGCACAAUUUAUUUUGUGGUUCCUUUUGCUGUUGCAUGGUCCUUUUAGCAUCAUGUAAUGUCCAGCCGAGUCAGUUAUGUAAUACGUUUCAAAAUUUGGUGCCCUAUUAAGCAAAAUUCCUUAUUUUUGUUGUAGUUUUGUAAUUCAAAGCAUUUCCAGUUUUGCAUACGUUUUUCCUGGACAAAAAGCAGUUUUGUUUUGGUUUUUUUUUUUUUAAGAUGAUGACGAUGACUACCCCCCCCUAGACAAGAGACAGAAGAGCACGAAGUCGGCUAAUGAAGCUGCCAGUACUCAAAGAAGAGAAGGAAAAGAAUUCAGUUCUGAUUCUUCCCAGCACGACUCGUCAGAAUCAAGUUCGGAUUCUGAGCCCGAAAUCACUACUGAAGAUGAUGAUGAUGAUGAGUACGUGCCUCCUAGCAGGAGACCGAGGAGCAGGCGGUCUAAUCGCGCUUCCAACACUGGGAGAAGGAAAGGAAAACACUCUAGUUCCGAUUCCUCCCAGCAUGAGUUGUCAGAACCAGGUGUGAAACCUGAAGUUGAGGUCACCCUUGAAGGUCAGUUCUUGUAAUUGAUUUCAGUUGGUUGGGCAUUUAUAUAUCUCAAACGUGGUUUCCCUAGCCUGCACUCUUUCACACUGAAUGAAGAGAAUUUUGUCCCAAAUUUGACUGUAGUUUGGAGUGUGCACUGCUUGGUAAAUGUUAGGAAGAAUUAGAAAACCACCAUAUACUGAAGCAUAUUGAAUUUACUGGGCUGGUUUUGAAAUUAUGCCAGACAGUAAAUUUCAUCUUUUCCAUAUUUUUCUAGUGUAGGCAAUCAAUAAUACUCGUUGAACAGAGUAGAUGUUCUAACAUUGAUUCAUUCUG
rnacentral:lncRNA from 1 species